rnacentral:rRNA from 1 species
GGAAUAUUGGGCAAUGGGCGAAAGCCUGACCCAGCAACGCCGCGUGAAGGAUGAAGGUCUUCGGAUUGUAAACUUCUUUGAUCAGGGACGAAACAAAUGACGGUACCUGAAGAACAAGCCACGGCUAACUACGUGCCAGCAGCCGCGGUAAUACGUAGGUGGCGAGCGUUAUCCGGAUUUACUGGGUGUAAAGGGCGUGUAGGCGGCUCUGCAAGUCAGAAGUGAAAUUCCCGGGCUUAACUUGGGCGCUGCUUCUGAAACUGCAGAACUUGAGUACUGGACAGGAUAGUGGAAUUCCUAGUGUAGCGGUAAAAUGCGUAGAUAUUAGGAGGAACACCAGUGGCGAAGGCGGCUAUCUGGACAGUAACUGACGCUGAGGCGCGAAAGCGUGGGGAGCAAACA